rnacentral:rRNA from 1 species
UACGUAGGGCGCAAGCGUUGUCCGGAAUUAUUGGGCGUAAAGAGCUCGUAGGCGGUUUGUCGCGUCUGCUGUGAAAACUCGAGGCUCAACCUCGGGCUUGCAGUGGGUACGGGCAGACUAGAGUGCGGUAGGGGUGACUGGAAUUCCUGGUGUAGCGGUGGAAUGCGCAGAUAUCAGGAGGAACACCGAGUGGCGAAAGGCAGGUC